rnacentral:rRNA from 1 species
GAUGAACGCUGGCGGCGUGCCUAAUACAUGCAAGUCGAGCGAACAGACGAGGAGCUUGCUCCUCUGACGUUAGCGGCGGACGGGUGAGUAACACGUGGAUAACCUACCUAUAAGACUGGGAUAACUUCGGGAAACCGGAGCUAAUACCGGAUAAUAUAUUGAACCGCAUGGUUCAAUAGUGAAAGACGGUUUUGCUGUCACUUAUAGAUGGAUCCGCGCCGCAUUAGCUAGUUGGUAAGGUAACGGCUUACCAAGGCAACGAUGCGUAGCCGACCUGAGAGGGUGAUCGGCCACACUGGAACUGAGACACGGUCCAGACUCCUACGGGAGGCAGCAGUAGGGAAUCUUCCGCAAUGGGCGAAAGCCUGACGGAGCAACGCCGCGUGAGUGAUGAAGGUCUUCGGAUCGUAAAACUCUGUUAUUAGGGAAGAACAAAUGUGUAAGUAACUAUGCACGUUUUGACGGUACCUAAUCAGAAAGCCACGGCUAACUACGUG